CUAUACAUGACUCUGGUGCAUAUCAAUAAGCGGAGGAAAAGAAACUAACUAGGAUUCCCUCAGUAACGGCGAGUGAAGCGGGAAGAGCUCAAAUUUGAAAUCUUCAAGGUUCUACCUUGACGAAUUGUAGUUUAUAGAAGUGUUUUCUGUAGUGGAGUUUGGUAAAAGUUCUUUGGAAUAGGACAUCAUAGAGGGUGAGAAUCCCGUAUUUGGAUCCAUUAUUCCCUAGCGUUGUGAUACACUUUCAAAGAGUCGGAUUGUUUGGGAAUGCAGUCCAAAAUGGGUGGUAAAUUUCAUCUAAAGCUAAAUACUGGCGAGAGACCGAUAGCGAACAAGUACCGUGAGGGAAAGAUGAAAAGAACUUUGAAAAGAGAGUUAAACAGUACGUGAAAUUGUCAAAAGGGAAGCGUUUGACACCAGUGUUGUUUUCUCGAAAAUCAAUUAAGAAUAGCUGAUUUUGUGUUGAGUAUUGACUUUAUCAGGCUUGCUGCACUUUCUUUCCUGUAACUUUUUUAAUGCACUUUUCGGUUAACAAGUCAACAUCAAUUUCUUUUGUUGUAAAAGGGUCAUUGAGGAAGGUGGCUUUCUUUUCGGAGAAAGUGUUUAUAGCCUUGUGCCUCUGCAAUCGGAGAGAUUGAGGUCUGCAGCGUAGGAUCCUUCGGGGUUAGAUACAGUUUGUGCUAAGCUAUAGCCUUUUCAUAGACAACUUGUUGACUAUGAUUCAGUCAUGUAGCUUACUCGCUGAUGCUAUUUUACCUACGCUUAGGAUGUUGACACACGCGCGUGCUCG
rnacentral:rRNA from 1 species